rnacentral:rRNA from 1 species
UUGCCCAGAUGUGAGGGAUAACCCUUGGAAACGAUGGCUAAUACCGCAUGAUGCCUACGGGCCAAAGAGGGGGACCUUCGGGCCUCUCGCGUCAGGAUAUGCCUAGGUGGGAUUAGCUAGUUGGUGAGGUAAGGGCUCACCAAGGCGACGAUCCCUAGCUGGUCUGAGAGGAUGAUCAGCCACACUGGAACUGAGACACGGUCCAGACUCCUACGGGAGGCAGCAGUGGGGAAUAUUGCACAAUGGGCGCAAGCCUGAUGCAGCCAUGCCGCGUGUGUGAAGAAGGCCUUCGGGUUGUAAAGCACUUUCAGUCGUGAGGAAGGUGGUGUAGUUAAUAGCUGCAUUAUUUGACGUUAGCGACAGAAGAAGCACCGGCUAACUCCGUGCCAGCAGCCGCGGUAAUACGGAGGGUGCGAGCGUUAAUCGGAAUUACUGGGCGUAAAGCGCAUGCAGGUGGUUUGUUAAGUCAGAUGUGAAAGCCCGGGGCUCAACCUCGGAAUUGCAUUUGAAACUGGCAGACUAGAGUACUGUAGAGGGGGGUAGAAUUUCAGGUGUAGCGGUGAAAUGCGUAGAGAUCUGAAGGAAUACCGGUGGCGAAGGCGGCCCCCUGGACAGAUACUGACACUCAGAUGCGAAAGCGUGGGGAGCAAACAGGAUUAGAUACCCUGGUAGUCCACGCCGUAAACGAUGUCUACUUGGAGGUUGUGGCCUUGAGCCGUGGCUUUCGGAGCUAACGCGUUAAGUAGACCGCCUGGGGAGUACGGUCGCAAGAUUAAAACUCAAAUGAAUUGACGGGGGCCCGCACAGGCGGUGGAGCAUGUGGUUUAAUUCGAUGCAACGCGGAGAACCUUACCUACUCUUGACAUCCAGAAAACUUUCCAAAGAUGGGA